rnacentral:rRNA from 1 species
UACGAGGGGUGCAAGCGUUGCUCGGAAUUAUUGGGCGUAAAGGGUAGGUAGGUGGUCUCAUUUGACUAGGGUGAAAGCCUUGAGCUUAACUCAAGAAGUGCCCUAGAAACGGUGAGACUGGAGUCUUGGAGAGGGUCGUGGAAUUCCCGGUGUAGCGGUGAAAUGCGUAGAGAUCGGGAGGAACACCAGCGGCGAAGGCGGCGACCUGGACAAGUACUGACACUCAACUACGAAAGCGUGGGGAGCAAACAGG